AAAGUCAAACAAAUGGAUGGUAUAGGGAGAUGUUGGUUUGGCCAGUAAUUUGCAUUUAAAGCAAUCGCACGACAGCUAAGGUCCUUCAGUACGUAUAGGAAAUUUUGACAGGUUUGAAAAGAACCCAGUGAUUUGUUGAAGGGUUGCACUCGACGAUACCUGAACCAGAAUUAGCGCACUCUGUGAAUCGGACUAUCAAAUUUAUCAUCAUUUACCUCAAAUUAGCGGCAGGAUGAAAACAGGAUCCAGAUUGUUCGCACCGAAAAGGCAUCCUUCCUCUCUCACCUCUCUAUAAUUCUCGACCACGUGCCGGCAAGGCUUUUGUAAAGAGAGCACACACCAAGUCCCAGGCACAGUAAUUAGGCCUGAACCAGGCCUAGCUCCGCUAUUGGAUUUCUACGUUGACAUUACUUAUUUCCAACCGGAACUUUGUAGCAAUCAUUUAGAAAGUGGACAAGGAUUGGAGCUAACCUAUGAACUAGCACGCUAAUGGUUCUUUUGGUUAAGGGUGAUUUCUCGCAUAGCUUGAAGACUGAAAUUACGGUCACGAAAGGAAAGAAGUUUAAGGUUGUAUUGCGUAUGAUUCGUUGGCGGUGAAGUAACGUGUGCCCUGAAGGAUAAAACCGUAAACAAAGUCUGUUCAUAUGGAAGUGUGAAGUAAUUUUCAUCUGUUCUUCGUUUGGAUAUACUUUUUAGGCCAUGUUUGAGAAUAGCAACAUUCACCAGCAUUAUAGAUAGGCUAAUUAGUUCUUGGUGCAUGUUUUGACAUGACAAAUCCACAGGGAGAAUUCGACUAUAAAUGCAGGGAGCUCAAGGACGGCAAGGUUAGUUAUGAGGUCUGGAUAGCCGCGCAAACACUUAUAUUGCCGCAGCGAACUUCUUAAGCAGUGACAUCAAGUAUACCCUCAAGUAUAUAGGGCAUACCGUACCGGGUAUGUCAUCCCGGGGCUAAAUUAUCAUUAAUACUGAGAUAGGGGAGGGACAUCUACCUGUCAAUUAAGAAAAUUGACUGAUAUGCCGUAAAACUUAGUGAUAAUCGAUGAAAUCGUACAACUAUUAAUAGUGCUGAUUCGGGGUUUUCCUAGCAGAAUUCGGAGUAAUGCGGAGACGCAAACAAUUCAUAAUGCUCAUAUUCGAUGUUGAUAGUUUUGGCGGCGGUUUCGAAAUAUCAGCAAACCAAGUGUAGCCUGCCGGUAACAAUAAUGAUGAAAUAUCUUUGGAUUUAUCUAAUUGUGAUAGCAUUCAGUGAAGCAUUCCCACGGAGUAAGAUAGGUCUUGAGGACGGAGACUGGACCGAGGUGACUGAUAUCAGCAGUGCUGAAGCAUAUCCCAGGAAAGAAAUGGUGAAAGAUUCUAUUCGGAUGAGACUGAAGCGAAAUGUUGACGCUAUGGCUAGUAUGAGGGAAUUAGCGUUAACUCUCAAAGAAAGGCGGCAUCGUCACCGGCAUCGGCAUGGCGAAAGAUCUCAUCGGAGACGCGAGGCAACCAUGCUGGAACACUGUGCGGCAGAAAACGCCGACUUUUGCCUGAAUGGUGGGACUUGUUUUAGAGCAAUGACAAUAGGAACAUUGAUAUGCCGGUGCACGGCCCUUUUCGCUGGGGCAAGAUGUCAGGAGGCCAACCUGAUGGGAAUACUUGAGGUGGAUCACUCAGCUUCACGGGAGGUGCUACAUUAUCUCGAAACACAUUCAAUCGCUCCACCAACUUGAAGUGCUUGAAAGUUGCCUCGCCGAGAGGGCUGGUCGCUUUCUGUCUGAAGGUUUUGAGGACGGGCACACGUUUUACUCCGGGUUGGAAGUCGGCAGCGGGCGGUCAAGGAUUAACUUGUCGAAAGAGGUGAUUGCGGGAAUGUCGAUACGGAGACCGUUUCCGAAACUAGUAAAGUUUUCCUGGGAUGAGUUUGUUUAACGCCGUGACGCAGAAGCCAUGCAAGCGGAUGUGGAGCUGCUGAUUUGUUUGGACUGUGAUUGCUAUUUAUGAUGCUGCUGAUCCUACGCCAACGAUAUUCAAUGUUUCUGGUCUUAAAGAGCGACGUUGCGGACGUGUUACUAUAUCGUCACCAUCUUUGCGCUGCAGUGCCUCUUUCGAUGUUUCAGAGUGUUUUCGCAAUGACCAAAUCGCUCAGUGUCGUCCUGCGUGGUAUCAAUAAAUGUUUCAUCGUUUGUUAGGUGUUAGAUGAAGAGGCAGACUAAACAAAUUUGAAUGAUGUCCACCUGCGAUUAGUUGAAGGAAGCGUUGAAGAUUGUUCAAGCAAAGUCGAAAGACUCUGGUAUAAGACAGUAACGGUUGCCCUCUCCAUUUAAGAAUAUUCAGUCGGAAUACUAUAAGAGUCUUAACAUGGUUCAGAACUUCAUUUUAUUUGCCCAAUCAAUGCAAUAGUACAUGUAUGUCUGUCUCAAACCCAAAGCAAAUCCAACCUAUUGCAUUUACGGCCCAGAUAGUGCAUUUAUUAUCGAAAGAUUUGUGUUUUUGGUGAAUGAAUGUUGUAAAAGUGUAAGAAUUUGAAAUUACAUGUCCUUGGGUAAGAUAACAUUGAAGUAGGCCUGUGUGUUAGAGUCAACAGGAAAGAGUAGGGCUUCUCCUUGCAAUUCAUGAAUUGUCAGUGUAUAAGUAAGUAAUUAGGUAUUUUAGAUGCCAUGCAUUUACUGCAACCUUUAAAUUUUGGAAACAUCGUCUUUCCGCUGAGAAAGUAGUAUGCCUUUAGAGGCGCUUUACAUAUUUUUGUAAAUUGUUCGUGCCUGGACUGAGCCGAGGAAUGACUAAUUACCAUUAUGAUACUAAAAGAGCUGAAUUACACAUACAUGACAUUAUCGCUGCAAACUACAGUAAAGUUCAGAAGUAUGUGGACCCAACUCACAGUUCACUCAAUAUGCACCCCGUAGAAUUUUUUCAGCGAAAUGAAAAACCCUUAGAGGUCUUGAGAGUCUCAAAAACCCCUUCACGACGUUGGGUGUGUUUCAUUUAUAUUUUUCACCGAAAAACUUUUACGGCCCAUAUUUGUGUUCGCCAGAAGCUCAUUACCCGUAAAAACGGCUCUCCCCCGACAUACUGGCGUUUGCUUAUACAAAGCUGGUGUUGGCAUUUUGGAUCUUGAAAUACUGGGCCUGCUGAAGUGGACAGCGUUCAAUAAGCCCGAAUAGCUCAUGUACUAACAUAAGUGCGAGACCUUGAAAUAAGCUUUCCAAUCAAAGGUUUUUUACUUGCAGCGUAUACUGCAUGGAUGGAGGUUUAAGGGUGAAACUUCUACCAUACUGUGUCCCCUAAGAGCGCAAUAUCAGAAUGCCCAAGUAAAAGUAAAACUGAAUUGAGUAGCAAGGAGCAGGUUUUUGCCAAGACACGGUCAUCGGAUUUCACGAAACUGAGGAACACGAGAUCUGCUCCGCCGGCGGAACCGCGUAUCGUGUAGGGCUCAGGGUUUGAGUUUUUGAUUCUCCGGGCUGCAUGGUGUGGUGAUCUGAAUAGAGUUCACUAUCCGUUAAUGAUUUCCAGUUCUACCUAAGAGGUGUAAACGGAUUCAAGUUUUAUUUGGCGUUGUAUGUUGUAUCAUAAAUUGUUGUACAGAAAGAUGGUGAAAUAUUUAUUUAUUUAUAUUUGCAAA